rnacentral:lncRNA from 1 species
AUGGACCAGGAGCCUCCACAUUGCUCUUGGGGGUGGCAGGGGCCUCUAUGCAGCUUUCAGAUCCAGCUAGUGGCCCCCGAGUGCCUUUUGGAGCAGGGCAGGGACACUGGCUUUUUAAUGGCAAGGCGAGGUGGCGAGAGACCACUCUCCGAAGAGCAAAUGCUCCUAGAGUGUGCGUGUGGCCUUGCCCUGGAUGUCCUGGCCCAUGGGAUAAUGGAUAGACUCGGCAGUGCAAACCCAGAAUUGGUUUGCCUGCCCAGCUCAGGACUGACAGUGACUUCUCCCCCCUGCCAGAGAGAUGAUGAAGACCCCGCCACCCCUGCGUUCCUCCAUCUUCUGCCAUCUGGCAGCACUGCUCGGCGGGGAGAACUGCACCUGGGAUUUCGUCACURUGGCUUUCUUCAUCGAGGUGAGCCUGAUGGCAAGCAGUGCCUCUCUGAGGUGCCUCGAACCACCCCGCCCUCUUGCGCCCACAGCUGCCAGGCAAGAAAAAUGCAGGUCCUGUUGCCAGACAUCAUGGAGCGACUGCAGGCUGCUGACAGCGGCAUAAAGGCCCUGCCUGUUCUCAGCAAUGUGCUCUGUUUCAUGGACAGGCGGAUGAUCAGCCCCAUCGCUCUGCAGCUGGCCGAGAAGCUCCAGCCACUCUUUGAUGACGUAAGACUGGUGGGAGAGCCUGAGGCUCUGUUAGCGUGGCCCGUGUGGUGUGUCCCUCUCUGCAUGUGCCUACUGGCAUAUGAAUUUGUGCCUCCCACCACAGACCCUGUGCUCUCCUGGGAGACAUUUUGCUCUGCGGUUUUCAGACUGCUGCCCUGUCCUGCCCUUGGUGUCCUGCAUGGCAGGACUGUGUCAAAGCAGCGCCAUCUCUGCCCUCAGCUGUUCCAUAUCAUGCUUACCCCCUGCAGCACUUGCCAUGACCUUGGGCCAAGGCAGCAGAAAGCCCAGAGCAAGCCUGAGAGUGAGGGAGAGGCUGUGCCCCAUGGCUGCUGCUUUCUGUCACUGUCUUUUGCCUGGGGACACUGA